rnacentral:lncRNA from 1 species
GGUCGCGCCGGGCCCGCCGCUGGGGGGGAGGUGCCGCGCCCGGCGGCCGCCUCGGAGUACCCGGCGGCCGCUGCGACAGUGACGCCUCCCGGUUUAUGGAGAAAUCGGGGCUUCUCGUUCCAGGCGAAAUAAAUCUGUGUGAUGAGGAUGCUGUGCUUGGCAUGCAGCGCUGA